AAUUUUGUCUCCUCUGUCUGCUAUGGGUCGCUGAUUGCCAGCGCCUGCAGCUAGCUAGCUAGCUGUACUAAAGCUCCGGUCGGGCCGGUCACGUAGCUGUUGACGAGUUGGUGAACUUGUCUUAGCUUAGAUUUCACGUUAUUCAUGCCUACAUGAGCUGCAUACAACUGCUCUAAUCGCUAGGAUGUGGAUGGACAUUGAUUUAAUUCCCAUUCAGCAAUUGGACUGAACCUGUACUGUAACACAGUAUGGAUGAGCUUCAUUGAAUUCCUCCAAGAGCUCUGUACUCUGUUCUGAUCAUUUUGAAGAUGCUUGCUUGACAGAACUGGGCAAACGAUUCGUCUUAGACAGGAUGCUGUCCCAACCAUAUUUGAUAUCCCCCCUCGUCUUCAGAAGAAUUCACACAAGCCAGGGAAACCCCCGGAAGAAAGACGUUUCGAUUCAGCGAACAACCUCCCAGAUACUGCAAAGACACCUGUACCAAAGUCCUCAGCACUUUCAUUUCUCAAGGACCACUACUACUCAAUACCAGAAAGUCCAGGAGGGGUAAAGUGGAAGUUAACAACAAUAAUGGACUUUAUUAAAAACUUGGAGAAGAGGCUGGAGACCACACAGAAGUGUAGAUUACAUGUACUUGCUGUUAAGUUUGGACAAACCUGACUUGCACAACUUUACAACAAAUAAUUUACGCUAUGUGCAUUCUGAUUAUUUAACAUAGCUCAAUGAAAUAGUUUAUCACUGGGCAUGUAACAAAAGUGAAUUCAUUAAAUUUGAACGUGUUGCAAAAAUGAUGUCUUACAGUAAAUUCAUUCUGGCUUAGAAUGUCGGAAGAGAAAAAAGUUUGUGAAAAGAAGGAAUGACGGCAAGCUGACUGAAGAAUAGAACAGGAUAGAGCAAGGGAAACUUAAAGGUCAACUUCACCCAAAAAAAAUUUUGAUUUGAAUAAAAAGAGAAAAAUAAAACAAGCAAAACACUGAAAAUUUGAUUGCAAAUUUGAUGUAAAAUGAGAAAGUUCUGAUCCAAUCCAAAAGUCAUUUGAUAUAGCGCCUUUUCCUUUCGGUUACAAAGCGCUGCACACACACUACUCCAUAUUUGUUUUGGCCACUAAAACAACUGUUCUACACCUGAGAAUGAUCGGUCUAGUCCAUGCAAUUAAUUGUCCACUUACCAGAAUAGAUGGGAUUUAAUGGCCUUCUCGAAUUGUUCAACAGAGGAGGCCAUCUGCACUGCAGCUGGUAGGUGAUUCCAUAGUUUUGCAGCAAUCACAGGAAAGGACGUUUCACUCGCACGUCUCUUGGAAAGGCGUUGAGUGAGCCAGAUUGACGAAGAUGAACGAGUAGUACGGACUUGAGAACGACGAAUGAGAAUGUUAUCGAUGUACUCCGGGCUUCUGUGGUUGAGCGACUUGAAGACUAGCAGCAAAAUUUUGAAGGCUAUCCUCUGUCUCA